AACGAACGCUGGCGGCAUGCCUAACACAUGCAAGUCGAACGAGAUCUUCGGGUCUAGUGGCGCACGGGUGCGUAACGCGUGGGAAUCUGCCCUUUGGUUCGGAAUAACAGUUGGAAACGACUGCUAAUACCGGAUGAUGACGAAAGUCCAAAGAUUUAUCGCCAGAGGAUGAGCCCGCGUAGGAUUAGCUAGUUGGUGUGGUAAAGGCGCACCAAGGCGACGAUCCUUAGCUGGUCUGAGAGGAUGAUCAGCCACACUGGGACUGAGACACGGCCCAGACUCCUACGGGAGGCAGCAGUGGGGAAUAUUGGACAAUGGGCGAAAGCCUGAUCCAGCAAUGCCGCGUGAGUGAUGAAGGCCUUAGGGUUGUAAAGCUCUUUUACCAGGGAUGAUAAUGACAGUACCUGGAGAAUAAGCUCCGGCUAACUCCGUGCCAGCAGCCGCCGUAA
rnacentral:rRNA from 1 species